rnacentral:misc_RNA from 1 species
UGGUUCUGGCAUCGAUGAAGAACGCAGCGAAAUGCGAUAAGUAAUGUGAAUUGCAGAAUUCAGUGAAUCAUCGAAUCUUUGAACGCACAUUGCACCCUUUGGUAUUCCAGAGGGUAUGCCUGUUCGAGCGUCAUUUCAACCCUCAAGCUCAGCUUGGUAUUGGGUGUCACCUAGUUAUGGUGCACCUCAAAAUCAGUGGUGGUGCCAUCUGGCUUCAAGCGUAGUAAAAUUCUCGCUAUGGAGGUUUGGAUUUGUGCUUGCCAAUCAAUAUCUAAUUUAUCAAAAGGUUGACCUCGGAUCAGGUAGGGAUACCCGCUGA